rnacentral:lncRNA from 1 species
GAUCGCAAUGACGACUUGCAAAAUUCAAGCUCAACAGACCGGAAUGCAGGCUUAUCUCUUUACACAGAUCUGUUUGCGUGUCGAUAUUCCCGCUGAACUGAGCGAUCUUCUCUUUUCAUUUUUCAAUCCAUCGAUUUUCUAUAUUAUUAUUAUCGUAAUUAAUUAGUUUUAAUUGUUUAUUUUGGUUGAUGUUUGUGGGAAAUAAAGAGGAUUGCAAUGAGGAUACAAAGCUCCCUCUUCUGAAUUAGACUGAAGAAACUCUGCUGGCAGAAUCGAACCAAUUUUAAAAUCAUGCCAUCUGAGCAAUUUUCUUUCCCAUACUAAUCCCUUUAAACAUUCCAAAUUACUUUUAGUUUUUGGGCAAAAGCAGUUAGUUUAAUAAAGAUUUUGUUACUCCGAUAGAUUGCAGUGAUGACCUUAGAAAAAUUCAAGCUCAACAGACCGGAAUGCAGGGCUCUUAAUUGAGUUUUGCGUGUCGAUAACCCGCUGACUGAGCAGUC